UGUUGAACGUGAUCAUGGAAUUCGGUAAUUUAUUCGUUUUCGUGACACUUAUUCAGGACUUUUUUUGGUAGAAUUGUUUACACCUGAUCUCCAUAAUAGUCCACCCUGGACACUAAUCCAGACUCAUUAACCUGCCCAGAAACCAGUGUCAUGCAAACUCGUUCGAGUCCAAAUGCUUUCCGAGUUUCAAAGUUUUGCGAUCGUCUAAAUAUUUCAAAUUAAUGCACAAACCGUCGUGUUUUUAUAUCCUUGCAUUAUGGAAAUUGUACAAAACUCGGAAGGAUACGACCAGCACCGAGCUAUAGGACAAUUAGUAGUGGUCGAAAAAUGCAAGUGUUACUCCGGAGCUCCUAUUGAACCACUAAUAAUCUAAUCGUUGCACAAUUAUUUCGUGGUUAAUUUGUGUGGAAAUGAACCACAACGGCAGCCGAUACACAUCGUUCGUCUUUGCUAGUGGAGGGAUCGCUGGCAGCGGCGGUGCCCGAGGGGAACUGAGCAGUGGAAAUUUGAGCAGAAAGCUGAGUAGUCCGAUGGCAGAGUCGACACAGCUGGACAGCAGCGGUAUCCGGGGGAAUCUUUACGACAGUCCGGUACGACAGGUUGGAGUUGGGAAAAGAAGCCUACCUCUCCGUUGCAAAAUAGCAGGACAAAUUUUAGAAGCAGCUGAACGGCGUCCGGGUCCAGUAUGGAUCGAUUGAUUGAUCCUAAGAUUUACACGGAUGUUCAGAGCCGAGGAUUGGUUAACCGGUUGGUAACGUACCACGAUAAAACGCAAUCGCCGUUAAAUGGGAAUCAAUCGAUGACUAGCCUGUACUCGAAGCCGGGUCGAUUUCCUGUGUGGUGGAGGAGAAACAAUUCUUCGAUAGCUACCAUUGGUUCGGAUUUCCCCGUCAGAGAAGUCCGUGUUUAAGGCUGACACAAGGUGGAACAUUUUACGGGAGGGAUCGUUGCUCAUUCCGGCGGAACCUCAUCUGAAGAUGGUCCGAACACAUAGACACGAGGAUGAGAUUGAUGCGGAAAAUAGUGUGAUUGCGCCUUCAACAGAACUGGAUGCCGAUUGGAUUAAGAAACAAUGUAAGGAACUAUCGGAGGUUGAUUCAGGCGAAGCUGGUACGAAGCAAGCUCGGAAAAUUACAUACACGGCUUCACAUCCGUGUCGAGGGUCGGCGAAUCAGCAGCUGCAGACGAAGAAAUUAUGUAGUAAAAAUAAUAUCUCAAGUUCACUUAGCUCGAGCCUGGUGAUGAACACUCCGAAAGUAGAACACGUAGCGCACCGACCGGCACGAUUAAAUGUGGAUGUCUUUCUCGACGCCGGCAACAUUGAAUGCGACGGUUCCAGUUAGCAUGAUUGAAUCGAGCAAACCGGCAAAAUUAAGUAGGAUUGAUUCCGCUCCUUUGCCACAGAUUACGAGAAUUGUUCCGGAGUUUCAACUGCCUCUGAUGGAAUAUCCGCCACUAAAACUAACGUUAACAAGAAAUAUAACGUCCAUGACAUGACGAAACGGUGGUUCGACCCACGUCCACAGACAGUGAAGAUAAGGAUGAUGAUGAUAAAGUAGGCGGACGAAUCAGUUUCAUUAAGCCAAAGAUAAAUCGCCUAUGCCAAGGUUGUUUUGAAGAGGUUCGAGCGUUCGAAAUCAUCGUUGAUUCUGAGCUGCUUGAGUGAUGAUUUUGAUGAAGACGAGGAAUCGCCUAUAGUUACGCCAUCGCAGGGUUCAUUUUAUACGAUAGACACCGCGGAUGCACCACCGAAGGUUGAAGAGAAGAAACGGCUUCCGUCCCGAUAAUGAGCGGUAUUUCAGCAAUAGUUAAUAGCCCGAGCAAGGAUCCUGGCCUAGGUAAAAUUGAUCCACCGAAACCGGUGGAAAAUGUAAAAACGAUAGAGCAACCCAAGUAAAUCACGGGAUUUGCUUUCGGAAGUACAACUGCUACCGUCAGCUCGGCUCCGGUUACAGCACAUCAAUCCGAUACAUAAUUCGCGUUUGGGACGCCCACUUAACCGGUUACUGCUAAAAUCAAAUCAUCGAAAAUACCACGUAUCGUUUUCCUGUGCUUGGAUUUCGGUACGUACGGAAUCGGACGGCGUUUAUCGCCGUUACCAUUUUAUCGGAAAAUAAUGCGUUUCGAGGUAUUAAUCACACGCCUACAUCAAAAAAUUAUAUAAUUUGCAACUAAUAUU